UGAGUAACACGUGAGUGACCUGCCUUUUAGACUGGAACAACUUACCGAAAGGUGAGCUAAUGCCGGAUGAGUUAUAUAAGUGCAUGUUUAUAUAGGAAAAGUUGGGGAGACCUGACGCUGAAAGAUGGACUCGCGUCCCAUUAGCUGGUUGGUAGGGUAAUGGCCUACCAAGGCGACGAUGGGUAGCCGGCCUGAGAGGGUGGCCGGCCACACUGGGACUGAGACACGGCCCAGACUCCUACGGAAGGCAGCAG
rnacentral:rRNA from 1 species